CCAUUCCUCUCCUUUGGUGUGACACAGAUUCUCUGCCUGAGCCCCAUCCAAGGUGUUGGACUCCCUGCAGUUACAGCACAGUCUCAACACCAGGGACAUGACUUCCUGCUUCUCUGACAGCGUCUGCAUUGUGACACUGGCAGCUCUUCACCUCUUCUUCAUUGUUGCUGGUCUCUUGGUAUCUGCAGGAGACUGCUCUAGAUGAUCUACACACACCAAGAGAGCUUUGCUUCAUGUGGAGACCCUACAGUCAACACAGAGAAAACACAUAAAGGAAAUUUGCCUUGUUCUGGAAGAUGGAAAGCUGGUUGUAAAAAUAAGCACUGCUGAAUCACAACAUGCCUUCCUCCUGCUCUCCCUGCCCAGCAGUCCCAGCCCACAUCAGGGCUGACACAGGAUGGGAAAGAGCAGCUUGGAUGGGGAGCACCAAACUCUGCAUCAGUGCUGCCCACGCCUUCAUGGACAGACCAUCCCUCACACGCCGUGCCCCUUCCUUGGCAAGCUGCUCAAAGCACCUCCUAGUCAACAAACCCCUCUGGGGCAAACACUGCAAAGUGGGAAAGAAUUUGCGUGGCAGAAAAUGUCACUGAUGUUGGUGACAUGUUGGAGGAGAGGGUGCUUGGCCAGCACUGCAGCGCCCCUUGGCAAGAAAGGAGGACUGCCAUGGCUACUGCUCUGCAGCCUGAGAGCUGCAGUGACAACAAACUGCAGCACACCACCUUGGAAGUGAGGGGUACUUCCCAGAAGUCAUUUGCACAGACAAGUCAAUUUCCACAGACAAAUGUGGUUGCAGUCCUCACUUUAUGCCAGUGGGCUCAGCAGAAAAUCUCUCCUCAUAGUGCACACUCACUUUUGUGCUCUCUAGGAGUCUUAUCUACACACCCCACCCCAACCCACACACUCCCCCAAUCUCUCGGCCUUUUGUGUUUCACAGGAAACAAGUAGAUAAACCACAUCUUUCAAUUUCCUAAUUAUGCAAAAACGUAGAAACUCCUAAACUUUCAGAAGCUCAAAAAAUGCUGACAUGGUUGGAAAAAAACAGGCAAAGUGGAGACCUGAAACCAAAUGGGGAUUUCACACUGGGAUGUCAUAAACAUUACGAAGAUGAGGGGUGUGCUCACAGAACACUCACAUGUUUUUGCUGAAACAGAACAGCGGUGGAUGGUAAAGAGAGCCCCAUCUUUGAGGAAGGACCCAGCAGGAGGAAAAUCUUUUGUCUGAUGGAGCAAUCCAUGAUUCUGAGAAGAGAAAACAUUGCGUUGAUUGUUGCAGAGAGGAACUUGCUCAGCUCAGUGGGGAGGAACCUGGCUCUAGCACUGCUCUCCAGCAGGACCCUGGGGAUUUCUAGAUGUGUUUUUGGCCAGACCACUUCUUCUCUCCCAGCCUCCCUCUUUCCUUGGAUCUGUGCCUGCCUCAGAGCUGUGGGAUAACCAGGACUUCAUCCAUUCUGCACCAACAUGGGGACAUGCAAAUGCACUAAGUGCAUGCAAUGGAGCCCCAGCAAGAAGCCAGAGAGCAGCUAUGCCUGUGCUGUUGCUCCCUGAUUUCUGAGUGCCACAGUCACUGCCUGUCCAUUGGCUGUCACAUGUUUGUGUUCCUGGGACACCUGGAGAGGCUCAGUUCAUCCCAUCAGUGCAGCUGCUUGUUCCCCUUCUCCCUGGUUUCACAUGUUCACUCUCAAAUCUUCUCCUUCUUGCCAGUUGCUUCAGACCACAUGAUUUAACCCUUUGCAAAUUUUCCCACAUUCAGGAACAAUUUUGGGCAAUGGGAAGGGCAUCCAAAGAACUGAACCUGCAGGGUAGGUGGGCUGGUGGUGAGAGCAGCCUGUUGGAGCCCACUGCUGCUAGCAGGGAAUGCUGCAGCCCAUGGUACCAGUACUUACAGAGCCCUUUUCCCCCAGUUCCCACAUCAUUACAGCCUGUACAGGUCUCUAGCUUCUCGCUUGCUAUUUCCUUGUUCCAAUGUCUGUAUUCUUUUUCCUUGGGAAACAGCAGAGUGACAGGAAGCAGGAAUCCCUGAUUCUGGUGAGUUCUGGCCAUGAGUGCCACAAUUGUCAGCCAGAUGCCAAGAAACCCAUGUCAUUCACAGGCAACAUUUGUUUCCUUAGCAGCUCUUCUGUUGUCUGGCACAUUGUCAAGGGCAAAGGAAGAGGGCAGGUUCAUCAAGCACUGCUGGCCAGGCUUGCAGGCAGCGUGCAGGCUUGGAGGACUGACUGCAGCAGAGCAUGGGCGGCGUUUUCUGCAGCCUGUGCUGCUGCUUUGACAUCAAAUUACUCAGGUCCUGUAGGUUAAUAUGGUUACCGUUCCUAUAUAGGAAAAGAUGUGUUAAAACACCAGUUUGAAGGGCAGGACUGUUGUGAGGACCUGAGCACCUUCCUCCUAAGAAGCUUUGGCCUGUCUGCAGGGCAGCUGUACUACCUUGUCCUGGAUGAGGAGCUGCUGCCUGUCCUGUCCCAAACCUGUCCCAACCUCUCUUUCUGUUUCCACAACACUGAGAGGAGAACAUGAGGGUGGUGUCUCUGUGGCUCUCCAGCUCCUGCUUUAACUAAAAGGAUGUUUAUUUCCUGCAAAGGAAAGCACAGUCAGCUGUCAUGCUAGAGGAAAAUAAAACACACUGCCAGACUGGUAUAUUUUACACAUCUGCACAGAGAUUUCAUCAGAGCUUAACUUGGCUUAUCAAACCAAGCCCUAAUUUUGCACAUCACUAGUGGACAAGCUCGGGGGACUAAUGCAGACAGGGACAUGCUCAGUUUGUUCCCAGUGUGGUUGUCACAUGAGACAGUCCCAGCUGGAGUAAGCAUUGAAAGUAUUGAAAAUGGACACUGAGCAUGUGGAGCUCGGGAAAUGGAAGAAUAUGACAUUAAUGCUGCAGAUAUUACACAUUCCUGGUGAUCUGCUGCUGAGUGGUGCCACAUGGCUUCACUGCGUGGUGCUUGUCCGGCACAUUUGUUGCUCCAGUGAAAUUUGGUUCCUUCAAAACACCCCAUAGGCUGAGGCAUUGCAGGGUGUCCUGUAUGACUGUGAGAAUCAGAAAUUCAUGGUAGCAUUGGAGGAUCAGAAAUGUGGACUUUUUAGGUAGAGAAGGAGUUAUUGUCCACACCUAAUGGUGGCCUUGGGAGUGGAUUAGAGAAUCAUGCAGCAAAGCAUCUUGACUCCAUGAGGGUCCUGAAUCUUCCUGUUGUUUCUUGCAAUUCCUUUAUCUGUAUCUAUCAUGGAAUGGGUAAUCAUGCCCAUUUCAGCCUAACAUUGUCCCAUUUUCUUUUUAUUUCCCCUUACACUAUUACACAUAGCAAUCAUUUUUGGCCAUGAACAUUUUUAUUUUUGUUAACUGAGGUAUUUCUCACAACAAAAAUCUUUCUAAGUCUGGUUACUGUUUUCCCUUAUUGUGAAUAUUCAUUCAGCACUUACCUUUGCCAAAGAUGAUGUAGUGCAAGCAGGUGUCACAGCCGUACGGAAAGCACAUUUCAUUUCUGACAGUGAUCCUGCUGUUUCAGUAGAAGCCUACCCCAUGCAGAGAUAGGCUGGUUAGAUCAAACUGUACUAAUUGCAGAGUGAUUUGGAAAUCUGUUCCACUUGCAAACAGAAUGAAUCCAACACUUUGUAACAUUGAAUUAACAAAGGUCACAUUUCAUAAAUAUUACCAAGCAAUUUUCAUGGAUAAUGCAGCAGGCUAGUUAAUGAUUAGAGCAGUAAACCUCUGACGUAAAGCCACGAUGAAUAAGGGACAUAUUUUUACAGCUUCCGUUAUUAUUGCCUCAGGGAUCUUAACUAAAAGCAGCAGAAAUUAUUAGGUUCCAACAUAUCUUUAAAAUCUAACCAGUCAGGCUGUAUCUGGUCUUCCCAAUGGCUUUUGUAUUACAAACUAGAAAAUUCAGGAUUUCAGAGUAUCAGUUAGAUUCUCAGUGGGAAAAAAAAAAAAAGGCAUACUGGUUUCAGUCCAGUUCUACUGGACUCUGCAGUGUAAAAACCAGUUUUGGUAACUGGUGGGAAUUGGCAUAGCUCAGAUUAAGAAGGGAUGGAAUUCUCCCUCAUGCCCCAACUGCUGAAUCUGCUGGAUCAGGGCAGCAACCUUUAGUAAAGAUGUAGUUCUGCCCCAAGGACUGAUCCCAGGGACGGGCUCUCCUCCGAAAACUUGGUCUCAACUGGGUCAAAACACUUUUUCUUAGAUUGGAAUGAAUUACCUGAGCAGUAAUCUUGAUGAAGUCUGUGGGAUUAGCUCUGUAGGGAACCAAUAUUGAACAUAAGUAAGGGAAGAUGAUAGAAUGAAUCCUUAUGAAUCCCUGGGAUUAAACAGAAAUCUUGGGCCCAGGUAUAAACAGAGGACUCAAAACCAGUGAAUGUAAUUUUCUAGGACUUAAUUAGGCAUGUUUUUAUCUGAUAGUCACACACUCAUAGACAACCAGUAUUUCUUAGUAGGGUUUCAUCUUCUGUGAGCUAUUUGUGUCUGAAUUUUAUGGGUUAGAAAACCUUGGUAUACAGCUGUGGAACAACUGCCAUCCAGCAGUGCUGAAGGAUGCUUGGGAAUCAGCAAAAUUCCAGCAGGUAUUUUAUAUUUCCUUCAUCCAGAAGAAACCAACAGGGAUGGAAAGUAUUAUAUAUUGCCAAUCUAUAAUACAUUUUUGAGAGAAAUUAUGUGUGAAACAUGCAGCCCUUUGUGAAACGUGCAGUGAUGUCCAGGUAUUUGGAUGAAGAGGUGGAACUUGUUACAUCUCCAUUUGGGAAGGCCAUUUGAUGAGAUGAAAUGUGAAUUGUCCAUGCACUGACACCAUUUGGACAUGACUGGUUUUAAUUUUCAAUUUUUAGGUGCUCAUGCUCUAAGGCCAUUCAGAACCUAAAGUUAAAACUUAAUUCUUUGAAAACCUAGUCCAAUUAACAUGACAGAAAAAAACAAAACCAAAUCAAACAAAACCCCAACAUUAAUGGAAGUAGCAACUCAGCUAAACAUAAAAUAGCCCUAAUUGUGAAAGCCAGCCUAAAGCAGCAUCAGGACCAGAGUCAGAAGAAACCUAGAAGGCUUUUUUCCCACAGCUGGACCCAGAGGACCCUGACAGGCAGAGGGCUGCAGGGUCACUGCUCCCUGGAGGGCUCACCCUGCCUGCAGACAGCACUUUCUCCAGCCCUGCCUCCAUCCCAGCUGGAACGGGCUGAAAAAUAACUGGAAGUUUCUUGUCAGACCAGACACACAGCACAGCCAGUUCUUCAUUGACAAAUGAGAGAAAGAAAACAAAACAUCACACUGUCAUUUAAAAAUAGCUUCAGCAGAAAUACCAGGGGCAGAGCUUUCACCGCGCAGAGAUCAGCGACUGAUUAGGGAGGGUUAUCAGCGUACCUGGUGCCGGAUAAAACCCGAUCCUGCCGCAAGGCGCUCUCACUCAGCCGGACACAUUGUGGGGGUGUGGUGAAUGCCUGAGAAACUCUAGAAGUUUUCUGAUAAUUCAGGAGUUUGAAACAAGGGGGUUCUGCUCCUUGCCUGCAAUGCCACUUUGGGAAAACUCCAUGUGGUGCCAAGUGGCAUUUUUGGAUUUUGGUGGGACAGGGCCACUCACUGUUCAUGACAGAUGCAAGCUGGCUUGGUCUGCUGCCAAAGUGGGGAGAGCUGUGCAAGGGUGAUUCCCCCCUGUAAAUGAUAGUGAAAGCAUUUCUAAAGGAGAGGCACCAAAGUUCAGCCCAGGUUUGGGGACUUCCAUUUUUAAAGCACAGUGUGUGCGACAUGCAACAGUUUUCCAAUGGCAAAGCUCAAAUUGCAUGACCCAGGAUUUAGGGUUAUUGCAACUUUUAACAUUCCUCCUGGUCUUCUGCCUCUUGAUUCUGCUUAUACAAAGAAUUCAGGUGUUAAAAUUAAUGUAUUUUUCUUGAUCUGUUUAUUGUAAAGUACUUAGGCAUAAUUUAAUUUGCAACUGUUAUUUUGGUCUAUUUGCAUUAUUCUAAUUAUUUGAUCCAAUAGGGGAAUUAUUAUUCACCAGCUGAAGAAAAUUGUGCAAUGAACAAAAACACACCAGUUUGCCUAAGAGACUCUAGGAUGUAUUUCUAGACAAAAGAAGAAAUUGAUGGAAAGAUAUCAAGAGCAAGUCCUGAGUUUUUCUGAGAUGGUACAAUUUGUUAGUUUACCGUAGUCCCUUCAAGAUGUACCUUGACCCAUCACUUGUCCAAAACUUCAUAUCAGGAGCUGUGGCUGAAAUCCAGAUGCUUGAAACACUGUCAGUACUGCAAAAAAGAAAACAAGUAUAUUAGAAGAAAAGCAACUGGAUGAGUAGCUCUGCUAAGUCAAGUGUCAUUCUCAUGACCCUAAGAUUAAAUAUCUUUCCUGUUUUUAUGUAUCCUGACUGUUCUUGACAUGUGACUGCAAAAGCAAAGCACAGCACAAUGGAAAUAUGUGCAAAACUAUCAAAACCACAGAAAGAGACAAAUCAGGUAACAUGGUGACCUACCCCAAAGCAGGGAGUCCCCCUCCUGGGGCUGCCCUCACAGCUGGCACCCAUCCACAGCUGGAUGUGUGCCCUGCUGGUUGGAUGCCAUCAUGUGCAGCGUGCUCGGGAGGGCAGAGUCCCUGCCUCUGCACUCAGGACUGAGGACAUGGCAUCUGCUGCCUUGCCAAAGCCACUUCAUGGAGUGGGCAACGCCCCAAGAGCACAGCAGUGCCUGCAGUCAGCGUGGCCCUCCCCUGCCCCUGGGGUACACCUGCUCACAGCCAUGUUGUGCAGCAAGCAGGGGGAUGCAGAAGCCUCGCUCUGGGUCUCCUUGCAGGAGUCAUCAUGCACCCAUCCUUUCCCCUCUUUUUGCCCCAUUCCCAGGAUCUUGGCCAUGAGGAGUUCCCACCAUUCUUGCUCUUCCAGGCUAUCUUCAAAAUGCUGUCUUGGGUGAUUCUGUAAUCUCCCAGGGAGCUGCAUUUCUGAGACGUCUCUUCCUGCACAAUGUCCAUUCCCUGGUGGGAUCCACAUGGGCCAUUUCUGGGGACAGUGCAGAUCCAUCAUACCACUGGGAUUCCAGUUCUCCCAUCACAAGGCCAGGGCAUUAUUUUGGACUGGUUCUUUACUAAAGCAAUAAGUUACUGUUCUUCAAGCUGAGGGAACAGCAAGUGACAUCUUAGGCAUUUCACUCCCAGCUCAGUUGCCUCUGCUCCAGGCACCACCUGAAAGGAAAACCAGCUGCCCCAGCUCCCCCAGUAAACCAGAGGUGGGAAAAUGCAACUCCCUCAGCACAGUCUGUAGACAUAUCAACUCAGCCUGUGAGUGACUCUGACAAUUUUGCUGCUGAGAUUCCCUGCAGGAAGGAGAAUACUGAAUACAGGUUGUCAAAAUGCCUUUUAGCAUUAGCAGGAUACUCUGCUGCAGGCAGAGUAGGAUACAUACAAAGCCUUAAGCUGUUCCAGGCUUCACAGAGCAGCAGACAGGAAAAUACAUGUGGCUGCACUGGGACACGUUGUUUUCAAAGCCCUGUGUGAUAGCACCAAGUGGCAUAAAUCAGAAUUACCUGUCACAAACUGUAUGUCUCUGUGGCCAUUUCUCCAGUCCUGGCUGAGCAGCAGCUCAAACUCUCUGAGACAGUGGUUACACUGGAAAGAAGGAAAAGAUGUAGCAAUGCAGGAGACGGUAAAAAAAGCACUGAUGCCUGACAAAAAUGUUGAAAUGCAUCCCUUUAGAAAGUAGUGCUGAGGAUGUGUGAGGGCAGGAACAUGAGGGGCUUUCCUGCUUCCUGAGAACCCACAAGUGGCUCCAGGAGCUUCUUCCUUUAGCUUCAAUUUCCAUUUUGGCUUUUCUGUAUGAGGAAGUGCAGGACUCUGCCCCAACUGCACUUUCUGCAGCCCCAGAGUGUCCAGUGUUUCUCUAAAACACUUUGCAAAGUUAAAGCUCAGCCCAUCCCCAGGGACCUUGUGGAGCGAGGCCAGCAGCACAUCCUCCUGGAAGCAGCUAAUGACUGAGCUGCUAAAUACUUCACAUUCCUCAUGGACACCAAUUCAGACUCCAAACCUGAGGAGGUUACUCAGCAUAAGACAUUUGCCUCCUGGAACUCGUCUGAAUAGCAACAAGUCAAAACCUCAGUCCAGACCUCACCUCCAGAUCCAAGCCAUAUCCUGACCAGCCUAAUUGUGAGGAGUCACAGCCUGGGACCUCUGCCUGCCCUGGAGACCAAGAGCAGGAUCUCUAUUCCUGGUGCUGAGCUAUUGCCCACCUGUGGUAUUUAAAGGCCUUUUUCCUAAUUACCUUCCACACCUCCAGCUUCUGUUGGGCUUCCAUCCUCCUCUCCAAAAGUCUCUGCCUGCCUUGGUUUAAGUAACUCAUUGCAAGACACUCUAACCAGGGCUGUCUUAAAACAAAGGUAAGUGUUGGUUUCUUCUCACCCUCCAGUUUGGGUAAGUCACCAUGGUGUGUGAGCAGGUUGGCAGUGAAAAGCAGCCUGGCUUGGACUUACCACUGCCAGAAAAGUUCUGGGCAUUGUGAUGUGGCAACUGAACAACAUCCCAUGGCUCUCAGAAGUGUAUUUUCCAUAUAGGAGGUCAAGAUAGUAAGAGCAGAUUUUGUAGUGUUUAACACCAAUAAUUGCUACUGGAAACAAAAGGUGUUGCUGGAAAUUUAAGGCAGAAGUAAUUUGUCCAUGACCACAUGCUGGGAUCAAGGUUCCAGGGCUCAUAGCUGCUACCCCAGACCUGCUGCUCCAGUACUUGGGGGUCAAAGGCUGAGAGUAGCUGUAUUUUUGGAAGAAGUCCUGUUCUUAGAUGGAUUCAAGCAUAGAGAAAUCAGGACAACAGCUUCAUAAAUGUAUUUCCUUCUGCCUUUCUCACUCAUCACUGACUUGUUCCCACACUUUUUGGCAGCCUCUAGCACUAUUUUUCUUUUCCCCACAGAUUUCUGUGCUGCUUCUGUGCAAAGAGUUUGUCCUGAGGUGCUGCUGUGCUUUGCUCAUUACUGCUAAUGCUGUUGUUCUGCAAGGUUAUGAGAAGAUGAGGCAACACAGAGCUUUUCAAAUCCAGGUUUCAGUAAGAACAGAGACACGUAUCUCUCCAGUCUGUUGGGGGAAAGAACAAAAAAUAAAUUGCUCUGGUGAUCUGCAGUUGCUGGCUAUUAAUUCCUUUGAGGAUUUUGUAUUGCUUCCAAGGCAAAUACAAGAUUAGCUGAUGGAGUAAUGGAGUAGUAUGGGAUAGAGAUCACAUGGGGGUUCUUGUAACACAGAUGUUAUUUAUUUAGCCUAUGCAGAGCAAACCUACUUACAGAUGUAAUUUUGUAUGUUCAACAUGAUGUCUGUGUGCCCAGUAGCCCCCAGUAUAACCUGAGAAGUCAGGAAUUCUGCCUUUGUGAGCCCCCAGCUCCCGGGCAGGGACAGCUGCCCUUACAUCCACUCAAGUGUGUGCUCCAUCAGGGAGUCACGGUGCAAUCACUUGGCAACGUGCAAAGUGAGCAGGUAAAAAAGCAACCUGGCUGCAGGAAGGCAAGUGGAAAACAGGUCUCAGUCACCUGAAAACUUCCUGCUGAUUCACCCAGCUGCAGGGGCUGCCCAUCCCAGCUGCACCCGUCAGUGGUGGUGCUUGGAAGAAAUGCUGCUGCUGUAAGAAUGCUGCUAUUUUGUAAAAGCAUGUGCAGGACCUUCCAGUGCCAGAUAUCCAGACGUGCUAAUGCAAAAUGCAUUAGCCCAAGCAGCAGGAGCUCCAGGGUUGCUGGCGCCAUUGAGUUCCACUCAUUUCAUCUUUAUUAUAAAUACUGCAUUGUCGUCUCAUUCUUUUCUCUCAUCCUCUCUUUAGAAAAGAAUUAUAAGGCUCUAGUUGACUGGUCCCUUUGACUUAGUACAGUUGUUAAACCACAGGCAGUAAAUACCUCUUUCAAUUGUUUAAGGCGGAUGUAUUUAUUUCAUUGGAACAACUGAAUGAAAUCUGUAAGAGCUGAAGAAUCCCCUCUUUCAUGGCAGCCUCUGCUUUUCUACCUCUGAGCUGAAUGCAAAAGGAACUCUUCCUUAAACCUGCCGUGUGAAAUCAGCCCACCUUCAGGCUCCCCACUCUCAGCUUCGUUUUUUGUGGUUCAAGAAGUAUUGCAGCCUCCGAAGACUCACCCGCCCACUUGUAAAUAGUGAUCUUUCACCAGGCAGAUCUCAGCUGACAAAUGUUAAUUGUUAUGCAAACUAUCCAGAAGAUGAGCUCUUCUCCCAGGACUGAAGGGCAGCCACGUCCCAGAUGAAACGAGGCAGCUGUUUAAACAGCGCGGGGUGCGCUGCCCCGGCUGCCAGAGCAGCGGGAGAGCGGAGCUGGAGCUGUGCCAUGCCACCAUGGUUAACACCCCCGCUUUUGUGGAGAAAGCCUCCACAGCACAGCUUGAGAACUUUAACUGACCCCACGCCAUCAGGAAGAUGAUGCUGUUUCAGUGGAAAACAGAUAUAUAAAAAUUGUUUCUUUGGGCUCAUGCGGUGGGAUGCUCCCCGCUUCAUCUGGGAAAAACAAAUUCUGAUUGUUGGGGCAGGAUAAGGAUGGGAGAGCAACGCUUUUCCCGGACCAGAGGAUUUGAAACGGACCAGGGAUGCUGAGAAUGCCGUGCAAAUCUUGUUCUUACCAGGAGGUAGAUCCUUCCCUGAGGUGGGUGGUGCUGCUGGGCCGUGGCUCCCAAAGCAGUCCCCUGGGAAGCUGGGAACCAGCUCCUGUUCUGUGAAAGGCUCCAUUGCUGCUGCUCACAACUCCUCCAGAGGCUGAAAGGAAUUCUGAACGUGCUGUCAGCUCAUUUUUCCUUCCAGUCCCAUUUGGUCACUGCUCCUUCUCUGCACUGCUCCAGUGCGGGGUCUUUGGGAUCACUAUGAAGAGUGCGAGUCAUGCCAGAAAAAGAGAGGGACUCACCACAGCUGCUCACAAAAACCACCCUGACAGGGCUGCAGGGCACUCUGUGAGCGAGUCCUGCCCUUUGCUGGGCAGCCUGCAGGGAGGAGGUGGUUCAGCAGGGCAGAACAGCUCCAGCAGUGAAAGGUGCCACUUGCUGUUCCCAUGCCUUGGAUCAGGCUGGCUGCAGAGAAAAUUUACAUUUCACACCAUGUAUGAGACACACAUGGAGACCACUAGUGUGUGUUGCCAAAUUAUCUGUUAUCAGCCGCAUCAUUGCGCUUCUGGGGUAAAAAACCCACUUUUCUGGCCACCAGAUAACAUGGAGAAAUGUUUAUUCCCUGGCAGUAACUUAGGAUAAUUUUCAGGGGUUGCUGUGUUCCUGAUGAAUACAUGGAGAAUUACUUCUGUAUGUGGCUCUGCUGAAUUUCUGAGCACUGAACCAGGGCUUCGUGCCAUCCUGUACUUCUUGGGAUGGUUUCAGAGGUUUUGUUGCUAGCUUGUUUUGAUUUUUAAGACAGCUUUGUACUAUUGCAGCAGAGAACUUCAGUUUGGAUUUGUUCAGUUUGGGUUUUUUAAAUAAAUAAAAUGCUUUAUCCCACCUGUACAUAUAUUCAAAUGUACAGGAUUUCAUAAGCUUGAAGAGCAUUUUAACAAAAAAAAUACAUUGAAAGGAAGAACAGAGGAAGGACUAAGAUUUGAAGAUUCAGACAACAAGGAAGUUUGUAAUGAUUCUUACUUUCUUGAAAUUUAAUAGCAACAUUUUAAUUGAUUUCAGUGGCAGCAGGAUAGGAGUCUACUUAAAAGGGAAAAAAAAAUGGCAUUUAACCAAAAAAAUCUGUUCGAACUUCACAUCUCCUUCCCUCCUUUUGCAUCAGUUCCCAGUAUCAGGCUGAGCAGAACAGCCAUGUGCUAUUUCCAUGCUCCACUUUGCCCUUCAACAGCUCUCUCUGGCAACUUAUUUUACAAAGUAUGGGAAAACUCCUUCCCCAAAGGGCUGUAAAGCCAUGGAUUCAGUUGCCAGGGCAGGCCACCCAAGGCCCUCAGCAAGGGCUCUUGGCUCAGCCCACAGUAUCCAUAGUUGUUUUCAACUGAGACUGAGCUGAUAAGGGGAUUUCCUUUCAAGUGGAAAAGCAUAAACUAUAUUUAUAUGCAGAUAAUUUCCUAUUUGUUGGGUUUAGCUUAACAGGCUGAAAUUCUGGCCCGUCUCUCCAGUGCUCCCCAACCACAUGAAACAUUCACAAUUGUCCGGGUGGGAGUUGUUUUGCCAGAAGCUGGAGAGAUGCCACAGUGCAGCUGCUGUGCAAGGCAGAGGUGGAAGGACACGGCCAGUCCUCCUUACUCUGCUUUUUCUGAAAGGAGCUAGCACAGACCACAGCACCUGCCACGUUCAUUACAGCUACUUGUGCCACUGACCCAUCAUUUGUCCAUUACCUGGGCAAAGUACAUGUCUUUUGAUCCAAACUUUCAAAAGAGAAAUCCCUGAAGUAUAACUAAUGCCUGCUGAGCCAACCUGAGGACUCAGUGAUUUUGCAGGCAAGCAGGACCAUGCUCAGCUAAGGAGCAGGAGAGAUUGAAUUACAUGAGUAGUGGAGGAAGGAUUUACUGAAAAAGCUGGUAGAAGACUCCCAAACUAUUAAUGCCCAGAAGGAAGGGAAUAUCAAACCAGCAGUACUUCAUGUUCAUCUGGGAAUCCUACUCCAUUCUUCUCUACAGGGAUUUCCAGAGGAUGAGACCCCAGUUCACAGCAAACUGAUAAUUAUUAGUCUUCUCUGUAUCCAUUUACUUGCAAAACACCUCAGGAUCCCUCCCUGCAGGAAUUGUUCAUGUUUCUUGUAUUACCUGGGGGUUUUAUAUUGCAUUCAGUUCACUGACUGCCAGAGGAGUAUGCUCUAGAGGCUUAAAGAUUAAGCUUUUAUUUAAAUAUAUAUUCCUCUAAUGUUGUACAUCUGGUUUUGUUUAAACUUGUUUCAGCAAUCCUUUGCUUUCUGGGUCCUUUACUGCUGGUCCAUCUAAACUCAGGCUGUGGAUGUUACCAGCAGCUCUAGCUGAGCCAAUGUCCUUUCCAAGAUCAGGAUUCCUCCAGUUUCACCCUCCUGGGAACUCAUGGGGUGGAUCAAUAUACACAAAGGUUUUGCAGAGCAGUGUCCUAAAGCCACCUUUGUUUUAUACUCUGAAAGUCCAGAAAAUAAUAAAAACACCUCUGAAAGACAAUAAAUACCUGAAUGUCUUACCCUUU